rnacentral:rRNA from 1 species
UUCUAUGGCCAUACCACCCUGAAGAUGCCUGAUCCCGUCUGAUUUCAGAAGCUAAGCAGAGGGCCCGGUUACCGUGUAGAUGGAGGACAUAACCAGUUUCAGAGAUAUGAGCCAGGCCAACUUAGGGA